CCUACGGGAGGCAGCAGCAAGGAAUUUUGGGCAAUGGGCGCAAGCCUGACCCAGCAACACCGCGUGGGGGAUGAAGGCCUUCGGGUUGUAAACCCCUUUUCCUAGGGAAGAAUAAAAUGACGGUACCUAGGGAAUAAGCCCCGGCUAACUACGUGCCAGCA
rnacentral:rRNA from 1 species